rnacentral:rRNA from 1 species
AUUGAACGCUGGCGGCAUGCUUUACACAUGCAAGUCGAACGGCAGCGCGGGCUUCGGCCUGGCGGCGAGUGGCGAACGGGUGAGUAAUGCAUCGGAACGUGCCCAGUAGUGGGGGAUAGCCCGGCGAAAGCCGGAUUCAUACCGCAUACGACCUGAGGGUGAAAGCGGGGGACCGAAAGGCCUCGCGCUAUUGGAGCGGCCGAUGUCGGAUUAGCUAGUUGGUGGGGUAAAGGCUUACCAAGGCGACGAUCCGUAGCUGGUCUGAGAGGACGACCAGCCACACUGGGACUGAGACACGGCCCAGACUCCUACGGGAGGCAGCAGUGGGGAAUUUUGGACAAUGGGGGCAACCCUGAUCCAGCCAUGCCGCGUGCGGGAAGAAGGCCUUCGGGUUGUAAACCGCUUUUGUUCGGGAAGAAAUCCUCUGGGCUAAUACCCCGGGGGGAUGACGGUACCGGAAGAAUAAGCACCGGCUAACUACGUG